GUCCUGGCAGUAAACGGUGCACGUUUGGUGUGGGAGGAUUCGACCCCUUCCGUGCCCGGAGCUAACGCGUUAAACGUGCCGCCUGGGAAGUACGGUCGCAAGAUUAAAACUCAAAGAAAUUGACGGGGGCCCGCACAAGCGGUGGAGUAUGUGGAUUAAUUCGAUGCAACGCGAAGAACCUUACCAGGGUUUGACAUGCAUCUCUAAGUCGGUGAAAGCCGGCGAGUGUAGCAAUACACGAUUUGCACAGGUGCUGCAUGGCUGUCGU
rnacentral:rRNA from 1 species